UGACCUCGGAUCAGGUAGGAGUACCCGCUGAACUUAAGCAUAUCAAUAAGCGGAGGAAAAGAAACCAACAGGGAUUGCCUCAGUAACGGCGAGUGAAGCGGCAAAAGCUCAAAUUUGAAAUCUGGCUCCAUGCGGAGCCCGAGUUGUAAUUUGGAGAGGACACUUCGGGUGCGGCCACGGCAUAAGUUCCUUGGAACAGGACGUCAUAGAGGGUGAGAAUCCCGUCUUUGGCUGCUGGACCGCGCCCAUGCAAAGUUCCUUCGACGAGUCGAGUUGUUUGGGAAUGCAGCUCUAAG
rnacentral:ncRNA from 1 species